CUCUCACAGUUAAUUAUAACGAUAAUUAAAUAUUGCAUGAGAGAUGUUAAAUUAUCUCCUUGUCAAUAUACAAUGUAAUUAUAAAAUACUGAAGAAAGUCACCAAGAAAUCAAACAAAAAAUCCAACACAAUUGAGAUGUAAUAUCUUGUGUUUUUUGGUAAUAACGUCCGUCAAGUGCAAAUUACUCUUAAUAGCUGAAAUGUUGACUGGAGAGAAGAACAAUGUUAAUUUUAAUGGAACAAUUGAAAAAUUAAUGAACUGAUUCAUUUGAUUUCAUCUGGAACAAAUAGUUAUUCAAUUAUCAAGCUUCAUAUGUGUUAGGAAUACAAACCCAACAAGUUGAGAUGUUUACAAGCUUUCCAUUUUUUUUCGUUGGACCAGUUGAUUAUAAUAGAGUUUAGUUAACUAUUGUACUGAUUCUUCCAAAAUGAUUUACCUGAUUAGAUGUAAAGAGCAGAAGCUAAAUUUCAAAUUUAAACCUUCAGUUGUUCAGGAACAUCAUCUCAAGCUCAUUGCCAAUCAUAUAUUUGAUCGGGACUUAAUUGCUUCACACUUUGUUUCCCCGAGAAGCGAAAAAUUAAUGAAAAGAUGAUCCAAAACAUAACAGCAAAACAAUAAUGAGACUUGGUUUGACUGAAAAAAAAGUCAAUUUAUCAAUUCGUUGCAUUGUUUUCAAGGUCAGAAUGAAUCCAAAGACUGGUUUCCAAUCAUGAUCAUGGUUUAUUAUCUUCAACAAUUACUAUUAACCUCAUUCUCAGGCCUCUCAUCUCAACCAACAACUCUAUCGUCUAACUCUCUCAUUUCCGUUUCAAACUUUUCUAUUUUUGAUUUCUUCUCUUCCCUUUUAGCAUUGUCAGUAAACUACAAUUGAAUCAAAUUUUCAAUUUAGAAAAGGAAAAUUAUCGAAAUUCUCGGCAAGAAUAUCAUGGAAGGAGAAAGUCAACAAGAAAGGAAAGGAAAUCUUAACAAGAAAUAAUCGAAUGAACAGCAAAUUUAUUGUCUUGAAGUCUGUAGAAAAAGAAACCUUCACUUCCAGAAAGAUACUUUUCCAUUAACAUGGUCAUCAUUUCAUCGUUACCUAAAGCAAAACAAGAAACAAAUUGUCUUAUCAAACGCAGUAAACAUCAACAGCAAUCAUAUUCAACACUUUCAUAAUUAAGAUGAAAUACUCACAGCUCUAAGGGAAAUGACAACUUUCACCCGGCAAGACAAACUAAACCAAUUCAAGUCUAUUCAAGUUCAAAAAUCAAGUCAAAUCAAUCAAUUUAGAUGAGAAAAUAAACAAUCAAAAGUUAACUCAUAAAACAGAUAAAUUUAAAUAGGGAAAUAAAUCUGGAAAACCAUUUAAA